GGUGCGGUUUCUGGCCCCAGUCUUGGUUGAAGUUAACCUCUCUUCUAACCAACUUAGAGCUUCGCUCCAAAUCCUUUGCCCUUAUAACGUACUUUUUAGAUUUUAUGGAUUCAGCCCAGCCAAAGGCCUUUUGUCAGUCAAGCAUUUUGAGGAUGUGAGAAGCUUCCAGAAGACAAGGUGUUUUUGUCUUUUUUCCAUCAAGUGAUGAGGAAACAAAAUGGUCAUAUGGCUGUCACCGAACAGGACAGCCCUGCACAUUCCUGUUAGAGAUGACAGAAGGAAGGCUGUGAGUCACUUUAAGAGCCUUCCUGGGAUGCAGGCGCCCUGAGUCGCAGGGCCAGGCUCUGUAACCGGGCGUCACUGCCCAUCCUUCUCUCACGGCCGAGAGCAUCCCUUCUCCCUGAUCCCAGGAAGCACCAGGACGAUGACUCCCAGAUCUGGUUAAUGCCCCAUGCUCAUGGGAUAGGUGUGUAUUUUCAGCCACAACUGUACCUGUGAUAGGAGUGUUCGCAGCGCAAGAAGACGCCCUUGACUUGCCGCUUCAUGUAGUGGUGACCGAUCUGCCCAGGAGCCUGUUGGAAAAGACAAGAUCUGGGAGCGCCAGGAACUGAAGAUCUGCCCAUCGUGCAUGCACAGCCCUCGAUGCGCCGUGUCUGUUUGAACCCUUCUUACUUAACUCUGAGAAACCCCACCUCAUUCCUUGUUGUGCCGGAGAAGAACCUCUGAAACUAAUCCGUAACAUGUGAGAAUCACAGGAUCCCUUCAUAUCUCCUAAGAAGACAGUGUCUGGUCCCGAACAGAAAAGCACAACAGUCAGUCGCUCCCUGCUUCCUCAGGGCGCUGUGGAGGAGGCUCGAACACGGGCCAUGGAAGAAGGAGAGUCUGGACUGGACACCUGACCACCACGUAUUUGCCACUGCAACUCGCCACCUUGCCAAACUCUUUUAUGCUGCUCAUACCUGUGGUCAAGUGCAUAUUUAGACUUCCACAAUGACUCCUGUGUGCUAACUGGAGAAUGGCCUGGAUACUGAGCUCUAUUCAGAAACACUUGGAGCAGGGUGGUGCCCGCAGGGGACUGUGCUGACCUACACCGGCCACACGGUACAAGAGCCAAGUGUCAAGUAGGGGAGAGCAAAGAUGUACUUGAAACCUGGAGGAAAACCUGGAAUGGAGUUUGUCUGUCACCACCUCCAACCCCAGGGAUGUCGGUGCCCUUCACCCCAGAAUGCUCACACAGCAGGCCUGGGACUCUGAAAUCAAAGCGGGCAGCCUGGAGGGAGCUGAACUCGCUGUAGGUCUGGCACUGCCAGGGGACCAGUGACGUGUGCGAGCAGCAUGACACAGACUUGGACUCUAAAGGCAGCAGCUCCUUACUUUGCUGUCCGAUGUUCUACAGAGUUCUCCUGUGCCCAGUCCUAACCCCGGCCAACGCUAGAAAAGGGAUCCCGGAAGCAGUUCUGGCAUAACUAAGCUGACGUGGUACAAAGCCACUACAUGGGCACCAAGUUCAUGGAAUGAGAUGAGCUGGGGGCUCGGCACUGACUUUCUCUGCUGUCACGGUUCACCUGUUAGAAAUGUUUCUACCUAUAAUGCUUGGUGGAUGCCCCUGGUUACAACAUCUGCUCUUGGAUGUUCUUCGGGGGAGGUGUUUUUUUUAAGUUUAUUCAUUUUUGAGAGAGAGAGAGA